rnacentral:lncRNA from 1 species
AUAUAAAAGUCACAGCAUAGCUAAGGCUAGUUAAAUACUUAAAACAUAUUUGAGUUUUCAAAAACUUCACAGUAUCCCUAGGAUAUGGUCUUCAAGGAAAGGGCAGUGACCCUGUGUCUUUCUUUAGACUAUUAUUAAAAAGACAAGUUGGCAACCUGAGCUCAACUUCUUUUAUCCCAUGUAUUAAUACCGUCAAAGUCUUUUGCAAAGUCCUCUUCAAAAGAUCUUCCCUUUUUCAAGUUUUAGACCUUGAAGAGUUCCUAUUAAAAAUAACCCAUUUACAGGGACUUUAUUCUUCAUAUACAGAAAGUCUUAAAUAUAUUUUAUGUAAUGAAAUGGACUAAAUUCUCAAAGUUCCCACAAUGCUAUUCUGAGAAUCUGUCACAAUCUAUGUGAUUGGAACUCUGUUAAGACUAGCAAAUUUGAAAAUAGGUAUACAAAAUCUAACCAUCAUGUUACAGUCUCAAUUCUGCCUCAUGAGAUGACUAUUGUUAUGAAAGAACUCAGUGGUUCUUUUAAUAUAAAGAAUAUUUGUGUUGAGAAGGUAGACCUCAUAUUAACUGUUCUUACCACCCAAAACAGAGGGCACAGUGAAACUUUGGAAGGUGUUGGAUAUGUCUAUUACCUUGAUUGUGGUAAUGAGCCAGACUCAUCAAAUUGUACAUAUUACAUCAACCAUACUUUAAUAAAUCUGGUAAAAAUUUAUUUUGUACAUCAACCGUACUUUAAUAAAUCUGGUAAAAAUAAUAAUUUUGUUAUUAAAAUAUUCUUGGUAUCAUGAAUGCUGAUGCACUUGUUAUGCCUAUGACUUAAGAAUGCAGGGGG